GAUCAGCUGAGCAUUACUAGUGUCUAUGGUGUGGUUUUCAGUUUAUGCAUGGAUGAUGUACUGCUGCCAUGCAUACAUCUUUCCAGUAUUGUACUAGCAUCUUUCCAUCAUUCCGUUUGUAUUUGAGUUUGUAUCCUUGUAUGUUAAAAGGUGCACUUAUACGGACAAAAAUGCACCAUUAAAUGAAUAAAAACGGCUGUUUGUUUUUGAGUUCGUAUCUGUGUAUUUUGUUUCUCUGUUACUUCGAAGCAGGUUCCAAUCCCUGAAUUUGUAUGUCAACUACAAAAUCUGCUAUAUUCAUGACCAGUUAUAAAUUUUGAUAACUGGUUAAGUGUUACUUAAAAUGGAUCCAAACCCGAAAGGGAUAUGAAAGAUUAAUUGAUAUAUUGAGAGCAAGACAUGCCGAUUACGUUUUGGUUUUCUCAAGUGGUACUCGUUCUUCUUUGUAAGUUUAUUUUGG
rnacentral:lncRNA from 1 species